GCGUUGGCUGCAUCUUCGCGAGAGAUCAAACUGAAGGCGGGAAUAUGCAAAACUCGCCCAAGAGGAACGUUCGGAAGGAGGGGCGCGGAAGAGGCGUGAUGACUUCCCUUUCCCGGCCUGCAUGUUCAGAUGAGGCCCAGGCUAGUUCCUUGGGGACCCGUAUUCAGGCUCGCGCUUUCGAAGCUGGGUCGUAUCCUUUAGGCUUCUGCAGUCUUGCCACCUCCAAGCGUUUUGGACUUCAGUUCCCAUCAAGCUGGUCAAAUGCCGGUUGAGAGUUACGGAAUUUAAGAUCCAAUGCAUCUUCAGGAAGCUAGCUGAUGAAACGUGUUUUACUUACAGAGAAGCAGUUGGAGAUGAAGACUUGAUUCAGACUUUAUAGCUCAGUUCAGAAAUAAGAGGAGCACUCCUUUUUGACAGGACUUCAGCUGUAAACUGAACAAUGGAAAGUAGACCAUCUACUUCAAGUGAAUCCUAUGCAUCUGGUGUGUAUGUUCUAGGUAUAAAUGCUGGGGGUCCCUUCCCCCAUCAGAAAUUUGGGAGAAAGCAAAGAACCUAUGUUUUUGUCCAGUAGCACUCACCUUUUGGAAUAGUCCUAUGCUGGGAAUAUAUAUACAUGGCCCCAUAUAUGAACGGUCAGGAAGACCAUUGAAACAAAGCUGUUCAGAAAGGCCUUUAAGGCCUAGUUGUUAUGAUGCCUAGCUUUUUUGUGUGGGAAUGAAUAAAGAAUGUGUUGGUUUUAA